CGGUAAUACGGAGGAUGCAAGCGUUAUCCGGAUUCAUUGGGUUUAAAGGGUGCGCAGGCGGAUUGGUAAGUCAGGGGUGAAAUCCCACAGCUCAACUGUGGAACUGCCUUUGAUACUGUCAGUCUAGAGUAUAGUUGAAGUUGGCGGAAUGUGUCAUGUAGCGGUGAAAUGCUUAGAUAUGACACAGAACACCGAUCGCGAAGGCAGCUAGCUAAGCUAUAACUGACGCUCAUGCACGAAAGCGUGGGGAUCAAACAGGAUUAGAUACCCUGGUAGUCCACGCUGUAAACGAUGAUUACUCGCUGUUGGCGAUACACAGUCAGUGGCUAAGCGAAAGUGAUAAGUAAUCCACCUGGGGAGUACGACGGCAACGUUGAAACUCAAAGGAAUUGACGGGGGCCCGCACAAGCGGAGGAGCAUGUGGUUUAAUUCGAUGAUACGCGAGGAACCUUACCUGGGCUCGAACGUAGAACGACGUAGUGUGAAAGCAUUAUUCCCUUCGGGGCGGUCUACGAGGUGCUGCAUGGUUGUCGUCAGCUCGUGCCGUGAGGUGUCGGGUUAAGUCCCAUAACGAGCGCAACCCCUACCUUUAGUUGCCAUCAGGUCAUGCUGGGGACUCUAAAGGAACUGCCUACGCAAGUAGUGAGGAAGGCGGGGAUGACGUCAAAUCAGCACGGCCCUUACGUCCAGGGCUACACACGUGCUACAAUGGCCGAUACAGAGGGCAGCUACCUGGUGACAGGAUGCAAAUCUCCAAAGUCGGUCUCAGUUCGGAUCGGAGUCUGCAACUCGACUCCGUGAAGUUGGAUUCGCUAGUAAUCGCGCAUCAGCCAUGGCGCGGUGAAUACGUUCCCGGGCCUUGUACACACCGCCCGUCAAGCCAUGGAAGCUGGGGGUACCUAAAGUCCGUAACCGCAAGGAGCGGCCUAGGGUAAAACCAGUGACUGGGGCUAAGUCGUAACAAGGUAGCCGUACCGGAAGGUGUGGCUG
rnacentral:rRNA from 1 species